rnacentral:rRNA from 1 species
GACGAACGCUGGCGGCGUGCUUAACACAUGCAAGUCGAGCGGUAAGGCCCUUUCGGGGGUACGACGAGCGGCGAACGGGUGAGUAACACGUGGGUGACCUGCCCUCCAGCUCUGGGAUAAGCCCGGGAAACUGGGUCUAAUACCGGAUAUGACUCCAUGACGCAUGUUGUGGGGUGGAAAGCCUUGUGCGGCUGAGGAUGGGCCCGCGGCCUAUCAGCUUGUUGGUGGGGUGAUGGCCACCAAGGCGACGACGGGUAGCCGGCCUGAGAGGGCGACCGGCCACACUGGGACUGAGAUACGGCCCAGACUCCUACGGGAGGGCAGCAGUGGGGAAUCUUGCGCAAUGGGCGAAAGCCUGACGCAGCGACGCCGCGUGAGGGAUGACGGCCU